CACAAAAAAAAACAGUUCUAUGGCAGUGACAUUACCACUGCGCUAACCAGCUGAUAACUUAACCUGUUCUCAAUGUCAGAAGGAACUUCAGGUAGAGAAUGCAGUCGGCUUCACUUCCCAACAACACAACGGAGCUAGACAGUGGAGCUUUGCUCAGGAGGCUGCCAGGGUGGAUGCACUUUUUAGGACUGCACAACCGACUAACUCAGGCACAGACUGAUUGAAGGACCGGUACCUAGU